AUUGAACGCUGGCGGCUUGCCUUACACAUGCAAGUCGAACGGCAGCACGGGAGCAAUCCUGGUGGCGAGUGGCGAACGGGUGAGUAAAGUAUCGGAACGUGCCCAGUCGUGGGGGAUAACGUAGCGAAAGUUACGCUAAUACCGCAUACGAUCUAUGGAUGAAAGCGGGGGAUCGCAAGACCUCGCGCGAUUGGAGCGGCCGAUAUCAGAUUAGGUAGUUGGUGGGGUAAGGGCUCACAAAGCCGACGAUGUGUAGCUGGUCUGAGAGGAGGACCAGCCACAGUGGGACUGGGGAACGGCCCAGACUCCUACGGGAGGCAGCAGUGGUGAAUUUUGGACAAUGGGCGCAAUCCUGAUCCAGCAAUGCCGCGUGCAGGAAGAAGGCCUUCGGGUUGUAAACUGCUUUUGUACGGAACGAAACGGUCUGGGUUAAUACCCCGGGCAAAUGACGGUACCGUAAGAAUAAGCACCGGCUAACUACGUGCCAGCAGCCGCCGCAG
rnacentral:rRNA from 1 species